rnacentral:rRNA from 1 species
CAAGCGUUGUUCGGAAUUACUGGGCGUAAAGGGCGCGUAGGCGGCCUUCUAAGUCGAACGUGAAAUCCCCGGGCUCAACCCGGGAACUGCGUCCGAUACUGGAAGGCUUGAAUCCGGGAGAGGGAUGCGGAAUUCCAGGUGUAGCGGUGAAAUGCGUAGAUAUCUGGAGGAACACCGGUGGCGAAGGCGGCAUCCUGGACCGAUAUUGACGCUGAGGCGCGAAAGCCAGGGGAGCAAACGGG